UAACCCCUGUGACAUACCACUUGUUGCCUCGGCGGAUCAGCCCGCUCCCGGUAAAACGGGACGGCCCGCCAGAGGACCCCUAAACUCUGUUUCUAUAUGUAACUUCUGAGUAAAACCAUAAAUAAAUCAAAACUUUCAACAACGGAUCUCUUGGUUCUGGCAUCGAUGAAGAACGCAGCAAAAUGCGAUAAGUAAUGUGAAUUGCAGAAUUCAGUGAAUCAUCGAAUCUUUGAACGCACAUUGCGCCCGCCAGUAUUCUGGCGGGCAUGCCUGUUCGAGCGUCAUUUCAACCCUCAAGCACAGCUUGGUGUUGGGACUCGCGUUAAUUCGCGUUCCUCAAAUUGAUUGGCGGUCACGUCGAGCUUCCAUAGCGUAGUAGUAAAACCCUCGUUACUGGUAAUCGUCGCGGCCACGCCGUUAAACCCCAACUUCUGAAUGUUGACCUCGGAUCAGGUAGGAAUACCCGCUGAACUUAAGC
rnacentral:rRNA from 1 species